rnacentral:rRNA from 1 species
UUAAGUUAUUAAGGGCGCACGGUGGAUGCCUUGGCACUAGAAGCCAAUGAAGGACGUUACUAACGACGAUAUGCUUUGGGGAGCUGUAAGUAAGCUUUGAUCCAGAGAUUUCCGAAUGGGGAAACCCAGCAUGAGUUAUGUCAUGUUAUCGAUAUGUGAAUACAUAGCAUAUCAGAAGGCACACCCGGAGAACUGAAACAUCUUAGUACCCGGAGGAAGAGAAAGAAAAUUCGAUUCCCUUAGUAGCGGCGAGCGAAACGGGAAGAGCCCAAACCAACAAGCUUGCUUGUUGGGGUUGUAGGACACUCUAUACGGAGUUACAAAGGACGACAUUAGACGAAUCAUCUGGAAAGAUGAAUCAAAGAAGGUAAUAAUCCUGUAGUCGAAAAUGUUGUCUCUCUUGAGUGGAUCCUGAGUACGACGGAGCAUGUGAAAUUCCGUCGGAAUCUGGGAGGACCAUCUCCUAAGGCUAAAUACUCUCUAGUGACCGAUAGUGAACCAGUACCGUGAGGGAAAGGUGAAAAGCACCCCGGAAGGGGAGUGAAAUAGAACCUGAAACCGUGUGCUUACAAGUAGUCAGAGCCCGUUAAUGGGUGAUGGCGUGCCUUUUGUAGAAUGAACCGGCGAGUUACGAUUUGAUGCAAGGUUAAGCAGUAAAUGUGGAGCCGUAGCGAAAGCGAGUCUGAAUAGGGCGUUUAGUAUUUGGUCGUAGACCCGAAACCAGGUGAUCUACCCUUGGUCAGGUUGAAGUUCAGGUAACACUGAAUGGAGGACCGAACCGACUUACGUUGAAAAGUGAGCGGAUGAACUGAGGGUAGCGGAGAAAUUCCAAUCGAACCUGGAGAUAGCUGGUUCUCUCCGAAAUAGCUUUAGGGCUAGCCUCAAGUGAUGAUUAUUGGAGGUAGAGCACUGUUUGGACGAGGGGCCCCUCUCGGGUUACCGAAUUCAGACAAACUCCGAAUGCCAAUUAAUUUAACUUGGGAGUCAGAACAUGGGUGAUAAGGUCCGUGUUCGAAAGGGAAACAGCCCAGACCACCAGCUAAGGUCCCAAAAUAUAUGUUAAGUGGAAAAGGAUGUGGCGUUGCCCAGACAACUAGGAUGUUGGCUUAGAAGCAGCCAUCAUUUAAAGAGUGCGUAAUAGCUCACUAGUCGAGUGACACUGCGCCGAAAAUGUACCGGGGCUAAACAUAUUACCGAAGCUGUGGAUUGUCCUUUGGACAAUGGUAGGAGAGCGUUCUAAGGGCGUUGAAGCAUGAUCGUAAGGACAUGUGGAGCGCUUAGAAGUGAGAAUGCCGGUGUGAGUAGCGAAAGACGGGUGAGAAUCCCGUCCACCGAUUGACUAAGGUUUCCAGAGGAAGGCUCGUCCGCUCUGGGUUAGUCGGGUCCUAAGCUGAGGCCGACAGGCGUAGGCGAUGGAUAACAGGUUGAUAUUCCUGUACCACCUAUAAUCGUUUUAAUCGAUGGGGGGACGCAGUAGGAUAGGCGAAGCGUGCGAUUGGAUUGCACGUCUAAGCAGUAAGGCUGAGUAUUAGGCAAAUCCGGUACUCGUUAAGGCUGAGCUGUGAUGGGGAGAAGACAUUGUGUCUUCGAGUCGUUGAUUUCACACUGCCGAGAAAAGCCUCUAGAUAGAAAAUAGGUGCCCGUACCGCAAACCGACACAGGUAGUCAAGAUGAGAAUUCUAAGGUGAGCGAGCGAACUCUCGUUAAGGAACUCGGCAAAAUGACCCCGUAACUUCGGGAGAAGGGGUGCUCUUUAGGGUUAACGCCCAGAAGAGCCGCAGUGAAUAGGCCCAAGCGACUGUUUAUCAAAAACACAGGUCUCUGCUAAACCGUAAGGUGAUGUAUAGGGGCUGACGCCUGCCCGGUGCUGGAAGGUUAAGAGGAGUGGUUAGCUUCUGCGAAGCUACGAAUCGAAGCCCCAGUAAACGGCGGCCGUAACUAUAACGGUCCUAAGGUAGCGAAAUUCCUUGUCGGGUAAGUUCCGACCCGCACGAAAGGCGUAACGAUUUGGGCACUGUCUCAACGAGAGACUCGGUGAAAUCAUAGUACCUGUGAAGAUGCAGGUUACCCGCGACAGGACGGAAAGACCCCGUGGAGCUUUACUGUAGCCUGAUAUUGAAAUUCGGCACAGCUUGUACAGGAUAGGUAGGAGCCUUUGAAACGUGAGCGCUAGCUUACGUGGAGGCGCUGGUGGGAUACUACCCUAGCUGUGUUGGCUUUCUAACCCGCACCACUUAUCGUGGUGGGAGACAGUGUCAGGCGGGCAGUUUGACUGGGGCGGUCGCCUCCUAAAAGGUAACGGAGGCGCUCAAAGGUUCCCUCAGAAUGGUUGGAAAUCAUUCAUAGAGUGUAAAGGCAUAAGGGAGCUUGACUGCGAGACCUACAAGUCGAGCAGGGUCGAAAGACGGACUUAGUGAUCCGGUGGUUCCGCAUGGAAGGGCCAUCGCUCAACGGAUAAAAGCUACCCCGGGGAUAACAGGCUUAUCUCCCCCAAGAGUUCACAUCGACGGGGAGGUUUGGCACCUCGAUGUCGGCUCAUCGCAUCCUGGGGCUGUAGUCGGUCCCAAGGGUUGGGCUGUUCGCCCAUUAAAGCGGUACGCGAGCUGGGUUCAGAACGUCGUGAGACAGUUCGGUCCCUAUCCGUCGUGGGCGUAGGAAAUUUGAGAGGAGCUGUCCUUAGUACGAGAGGACCGGGAUGGACAUACCUCUGGUGUACCAGUUGUCGUGCCAACGGCAUAGCUGGGUAGCUAUGUGUGGACGGGAUAAGUGCUGAAAGCAUCUAAGCAUGAAGCCCCCCUCAAGAUGAGAUUUCCCAACUUCGGUUAUAAGAUCCCUCAAAGAUGAUGAGGUUAAUAGGUUCGAGGUGGAAGCAUGGUGACAUGUGGAGCUGACGAAUACUAAUCGAUCGAAGACUUAAUCAA